rnacentral:rRNA from 1 species
GACGAACGCUGGCGGCGUGCUUAACACAUGCAAGUCGUACGACAGCAUUCCUUUUGGGGGUGUUUGGAGUGGCGAACGGGUGAGUAACACGUGAGUAACCUGCCCUCUUCUUUGGGAUAACGUGCGGAAACGUGCGCUAAUACUGAAUAUUCUUAUUCUGCUGCAUGGUGGGGUGGGGAAAGGACUGUGGGGUCUUUAGGGGCUUUGUGGUUUGGUGGGGAUGGGCUCGCGGCCUAUCAGCUUGU